GCCACCUUAGCUCAGUUGGUAGAGCACGUCACUCGUAAUGACGGGGUCGUCGGUUCGAAUCCGACAGGUGGCUCCU
rnacentral:tRNA from 1 species